rnacentral:rRNA from 1 species
GAUCCUGGCUCAGGAUGAACGCUGGCGGCGUGCUUAACACAUGCAAGUCGAGCGAAGCACUUAAGUUUGAUUCUUCGGAUGAAGACUUUUGUGACUGAGCGGGCGGACGGGUGAGGUAACGCGUGGGUAACCUACCUUGCACAGGGGGGACAACAGUUGGAAACGACUGCUAAUACCGCAUAAGACCACAGUACCGCAUGGUACAGGGGUAAAAACUGAGGUGGUGCAAGAUGGACCCGCGU